rnacentral:rRNA from 1 species
AUGAACCAAUCCAUCCCUUUUUCCCGUGCAUAUGCAUCGGACUCGGAUGACGAUGGUCCCGAUGAAGAAGUUGAUGAGGAGGGGUUCACGCCGAAGGAGGCCCAAGCAUUCAAGAAGGUAUUCGGGCGGGAUCACAAGACACCAUUGUUCAAGGAUCUUAGUCUCGCGAAUGAAGCCGUUGUGGAUGGUGGCAAAUGCAUAUCUCUUGGAGCUAGGCCAAGUUCUCACCAUGAUUUGGAAGACGGCAAGAACGGGAUAUAUCCCGGUUGUGAGUUUCAAUCCUUCUUGGAAUUGAAGAUGUGGCUCGACAACUACUCGGUUGCACAUUAUCGUCCACAUAAAGUGGCCAACUCAGACAUCAAUGUGCACUACACGGUCAAAUGUGAAGUGCCAAGAUGUCCAUGGAUUGUGCGUGCAAGGCCAUGGAAAGAAGGUCCCACUUGGCGCAUAGUGAGUUGUCUACCAACUCACAUGUGCCGGCACAGGAAUGCAGAUGGCGAGCUUGUGUACCAACAACACAGACAACUCACGUCCUAG